rnacentral:ncRNA from 2 species
UGCAUUUAAAGAGGUUGCAUCCGACAAGAGUACCUGGACGACAGGGAAAGGGGAAGAUGCCGAAACAGCCGGAUUCCGGCCGUUGGGCUUGCAUUUAAGAGAUGCAGGACUUUGGAGUUUCUAUCCCAAAAGAAGCUUCAAGCGCUUUUUAUGCC